UCGGCGCGUAAAAAUUACUGUCGCACUGCCAACUUUCAACUCGCUGAAAGCAAACCGCCGUAGCUUUGAAUUUUUUUUAAACGGUUUAAAAAAAAAGUACAUAUUUAUUCAAUGAAAGGUUUUUUUUGUUUGUUUUAAAUCUACCCUGUUUGAAAGCACACGCUGGAAAUGUUUUAGCAGUUGAAAGGGGUGGCGGAGAGCAGUGGCGCAGUCGUUAGUGAACUACAUUGCAAGUUCAGAAUCCAGGCCACGGCGAGCCUGCACUGACCAGCGUGGUCAAGCAUGGCUAGCCACCCCCACCCCCCAACUGAUUGGGAAGCCUUCAUACAGCAUUGAAUCGACAAAGGGACGCGUAUUAUUGUUUUUAUUUAUAUUAGAACCACGCUUCAGUUGAGUUCUUAAAUCGCCCGGCGAGCUCAAGGAAGAAGAGCGACACCACGAAUAAGGCUGGCCCCGUGUUGGGUGGCAUCGUGAUGCCCACGGCCUUUCGGGCACCGCCACCUCCUGCCGCCACCGUUCAUCCCAAGCCGGCGAUUCAGUGCGCAUGGGUCCAGAUUGAUGGUGGUUCCCAAGCUUCUUGGAGGUCACCUAACGAAAGCCGCUCGUGCCCGGGCACCCCAGCCAGAGAGAGCUGGGCCAACCCGAGGCUGCGUGGCGUCUGCCAAAAAGAAUGAAAAAAGGCGCAAAACCGUUUGUUGCAGUGUUCAGAAUUCAGCGCUGGAGGGCGAGAAACGGGAGCCCAAAAAGCCGGCUUGACAUCCCUUUCGUUUUGCCACCCCACCACCGCUUAAAUUCGCCGGAGAAAUUGCCGACGCUCAAGCUCAGCUCGACUCUGUUCGGGAGCUGCUGCAUAAUUGGGGGAAGAGGCAUUCAACGGGCUCGUCACAACGGAAAUAUUCAUGACGGCGGCGGUUCAUCCGAUUAAAAAAAAAGAAUCCAUACGCACGCUCGCGCAUUUUUCCUCUCUCCAUAAACGUAACACUCCAUUUGGUCGAGCUCCCCCGGCCAUUCUUGGACUGGAAGAGAACACGUUUAAAAAAAAAGAGAUCGCGUACCUGGGAAAAAGUUUGCACAAUUUGGUCGACCUCUUGCAUGCGGUUGUCACAACAAUGAAGCAUUCCUCAAGAAGGGCCGCGUAAUGAAAACGGGGAAGCAACAUUUAAACAACUAGAAAUUCCUGGAAAAUCGUUAGUUCUUGCGCGAUUCUCUACAUUUUUCGUUUACAUUUGGAUUUGUCUUUUCCAGUGCUGACACAAUGCGUUUUCUGUUGAGGAAGUUGCACGCGUCUUUAUUUCAUAAUUUAGCAUAACAGCGCUGACUGCGGGAGCAAGCCCUGUUUCUCCGAACAAGGAAAUAAAAACAAAACCCAUUCUUUUGGUCGCUUAAGAAUCGUUCACAAACCAUCUUUCGUUGUCUCCAACAAAAUACGAGAUCUAGCACCCUGCACCUUUGCAGCGACGAAGAUACGCACCCCCACACGUCACUUCUCUCUCCUCGUCGCUUUAAUGACGACGACGAGCACGUGCGAUCACACAGCACCCCACCGUGUGGCUC